ensembl:lncRNA
AUGUUUUAUUUUUACCUUCUCUUUUCACAGCUUUCAAGAAAAGAACAAAUAAUAUCAUUGAUGGAGAUCAAAAAGAAAUCUUGGGAUUACGUGACCCUCAUCCUGAUUCCUGCAAGGACCUCUGCACUCUAUGAGCUCUGGCAGCCCCAAGCUGCAGUUUGGAAAUUAUGUAGAUACACAUGCAAAUCCUCCCUGAAAGCCCUGGAAAAAAGAGAACACCAAGAACAUCAUCAUCUUGGAGGGCUUCCUUGAGAGAAGACCCAUAUCGGGAGGAAGCAGGGAAGAUGGACAGACGGACAUCCCUUCCUUAAGGAAUGGGGUAGAAAACAGAAGGAAAGGCUGGCGCAAUGCUCAGGAGGGAUUAUCCACCCGGCCGAGGCCAGAUGCAGUCGUGGGGGCAAGGCUAAAGCCGGAGCUUUUAGCUCUGACCGAAUCUUGGGCUGGGAUCCUUGCAACAGCAAGUUCAAAGGUCGGUCUUUUGUUUGGCGUGCGCUGCGUUAAUUUGUCAAGUUUUAUCUCUCCCUGCUACCCGAGCAGCUGCAGCGUGUGUAAAAUGCUCCCGGGUCCGCCAGCCUUCAGCUGGAAAGCAACAAAAGCGGGGGCCUGCAGCCUUUUUCAUGUAAAUGCUUGUUAGCGGCGUAAUUGUCUCGCGAACCCAACCGAAGGCACUUAAAUGGCUUUAAAGGGUCGCAGUUAGGUGCUUUUGACAGCCGCCGUGACAGCUCCAGUCCUACCGAGCUUGUCCUGGCAUCCGUGUGCUCGUCACAAUGGUUUUACUAUCAAAUUGAGCCUUUUUAAUUGCUUAACAUCAGCUAAUAGACACUUAAGAUGAAGUAAUUUCCUUUUUAUUUUCCUACCCGGGCUCUGCUGAUCAAUGUUGGAUGAGAUCACCUGCAUUUUAUUUGGGGGUCAAUGGAAAAAAUGGCAACGUCCACCUCGGGCUUUUUUUUUUUCCCUUUCCCUUUGAACGGGGUGGGAUUUCUGCAGAACAAUUAACAUUCAUUUGCUAAGUGUUUUUGCAAGCAUGUUUACAAGAAAUGCAAAUACCCCAGGACUAUGGUGUUUUUGUUUUCUAGGGUUCACCUAAAAUGAGGCCCUGAUGCCGUGGAGGCUUUAUGUAUGCCUUUAGCUCUCUGCUCAUGGUGAAACUAUGUGGAUGGCUGUGUGCAUGAAGCUGUACAUUUCUGCAAGUCUCGGCGCUGAGAUGCAGGGAUCUUCAGCUUUCUAAAAAAGCUCUUGUAUCACAGCUUAAAAAUAGAGGCUGUUUAGACCUCUCAGGGUGUCAUGGAAGGGAAUUUUGGUGUAGUGCAGCCGUCCCAGCGGAUAAAGUGAGUCUCUGAUGUCAGUCUCCCACUAAGAUAACCCAAAGGCACUGACGCCUCCAGGACAGUAUUGUUUCACAGCAAACCGUCUGCUCACAGAGCAAACACGAUAGUGGGGUGUUAAUUUAUGAAGUGGUGGCCGAGUUCCCGACCAGAAGCAGCAGAGACAUUUUGCAUUUGAAACAUGACGGUCUGCCCGAGCUCCGUAGGGUUCAGCCUUUACCAUGUUUCAGGAUCUGCCCUUCCCACAUGUAUCUGGAGUUCUCAAACCCAGUGAGAGUCACCAGGAGAUGUGGGGACAUCAGAUGGGUUCCUCUCGCCUCUCUCCAAAUGCCUGGUUUUUGUUUAGCUUGUAGGCACAGAGCGCCAGCGAGACAACUCUCCUCCCUCUGUUGGCUUUGCGUGAAGUUGGCCAACACAUCCAGGAGGGCUUAUGGGAGGACAGGCAAAUGAACAUAAGCUUUCCCUCAGAAACGAAGCUAAAAAUGCAUUUACUCCUUUCAAAACCAAUUAAUGGACUUCAAAGACUAAAACCGGUGGAUGGCUUGGGCUGUGGAAAAUAUUGGGAUAUGAUGGUGAGAAGGGAUAAAUUUAGCAGGAUGGGACAAACCAACCUGAAGACCCCAUCCCACAUCACAAAAAUAGCCCCUUGAGGGCAUUCACUUGGAAAGUCUUUGCUUAAUUGCAGCCUAAUUGCUGUUGUGGGUCCAGUUCUCAUGCCUUUUGAAGAUGUCUUGAGACUAGCCAGUGGAAAACUGCUCUUAAACAUGUUUUUUUAAGAUAUCGGGCCAAGCCAAAUGAAAUAUGCCAGGGAGUCAUGGAAAUGAUUGGAGCCUAUCAAGAUGCAGGGGCAAGGAAACUCAUAUCUUUUUCCCUCAAGUGGGGAGAAUUAACUGCAUGUGAACAGGGAUGUUGAGAGUCCUGGAAAUAGUCACGGGGAUGGCAGCACCAAACACAGGCACGGUUUAAGCCUUGGCCUUUUUCACUUCAUACCUCGGAGCAAAGAAACUUCUGCUUGCAAGAUGAUGCCCGCAUGAUCACCCAAAUCCCCAUCCAGGGCUGAAGAUGCUGCAGCCACCACGGGCAUGGCAGCAGGUCGGGCUUCAGCAGAGGUGCAUUAAUAAAAUCACCCUUGUUCAAGGUUACGGUGCGAGU